CCUACGGGUGGCAGCAGUAGGGAAUAUUGCUCAAUGGGGGAAACCCUGAAGCAGCGACGCCGCGUGGAGGAUGAAGGUUUUCGGAUUGUAAACUUCUUUUGUUAGAGAAGAAAAUGACGGUAUCUCACGAAUAAGCACCGGCUAACUCCGUGCCAGCAGCAGCGGUAAUACGGAGGGUGCAAGCGUUACUCGGAGUCACUGGGCGUAAAGAGCGCGUAGGCGGGAUAGCAAGUCAGAUGUGAAAUCCUAGGGCUUAACCAUAGAACUGCAUUUGAAACUGUUAUUCUAGAGUAUGGGAGGGGUAGGUGGAAUUCUUGGUGUAGGGGUAAAAUCCGUAGAGAUCAAGAGGAAUACUCAUUGCGAAGGCGACCUACUAGAACAUAACUGACGCUGAUGCGCGAAAGCGUGGGGAGCAAACAGGAUUAGAUACCCCAGUAGUC
rnacentral:rRNA from 1 species